rnacentral:rRNA from 1 species
CAGUAGCCGCGGGAAUACGAGGGGGGCAAGCGUUGUUCGGAAUUAUUGGGCGUAAAGCGAGCGCAGGCGGUCAAUUAAGUCUGAAGUGAAAGCCCCCGGCUCAACCGGGGAGGGUCAUUGGAAACUGGUUGACUUGAGUGCAGAAGAGGAGAGUGGAAUUCCAUGUGUAGCGGUGAAAUGCGUAGAUAUAUGGAGGAACACCAGUGGCGAAGGCGACUCUCUGGUCUGUAACUGACGCUGAGGCUCGAAAGCGUGGGUAGCAAACAGGAUUAGAUACCCCAGUAGUCCCUGUCUCUUAUAC